GGGGGGGGCUAGCGUUGUUCGGAAUUACUGGGCGUAAAGGGCUCGUAGGUGGCCAACUAAGUCAGACGUGAAAUCCCUCGGCUUAACCGGGGAACUGCGUCUGAUACUGGAUGGCUUGAAUCCGGGAGAGGGAUGCGGAAUUCCAGGUGUAGCGGUGAAAUGCGUAGAUAUCUGGAGGAACACCGGUGGCGAAGGCGGCAUCCUGGACCGGUAUUGACACUGAGGAGCGAAAGCCAGGGGAGCAAACGGGAUUAGAUACCCCGGUAGUCCUGGCCCUAAACGAUGAAUGCUUGGUGUGACGGGUAUCGAUCCCUGUCGUGCCGAAGCUAACGCAUUAAGCAUUCCGCCUGGGGAGUACGGUCGCAAGGCUG
rnacentral:rRNA from 1 species